AUACAUGCAAGUCGAACGCACAGCGAAAGGUGCUUGCACCUUUCAAGUGAGUGGCGAACGGGUGAGUAACACGUGGACAACCUGCCUCAAGGCUGGGGAUAACAUUUGGAAACAGAUGCUAAUACCGAAUAAAACUUAGUGUCGCAUGACACAAAGUUAAAAGGCGCUUCGGCGUCACCUAGAGAUGGAUCCGCGGUGCAUUAGUUAGUUGGUGGGGUAAAGGCCUACCAAGACAAUGAUGCAUAGCCGAGUUGAGAGACUGAUCGGCCACAUUGGGACUGAGACACGGCCCAAACUCCUACGGGAGGCUGCAGUAGGGAAUCUUCCACAAUGGGCGAAAGCCUGAUGGAGCAACGCCGCGUGUGUGAUGAAGGCUUUCGGGUCGUAAAGCACUGUUGUAUGGGAAGAACAGCUAGAAUAGGAAAUGAUUUUAGUUUGACGGUACCAUACCAGAAAGGGACGGCUAAAUACGUGCCAGCAGCCGCGGUAAUACGUAUGUCCCGAGCGUUAUCCGGAUUUAUUGGGCGUAAAGCGAGCGCAGACGGUUUAUUAAGUCUGAUGUGAAAGCCCGGAGCUCAACUCCGGAAUGGCAUGGAAACUGGUAACUG
rnacentral:rRNA from 1 species